rnacentral:tRNA from 1 species
GAUGUGGCACAGUUUGGUAAAGUGCUUGCCUUACAUGCAUAAGGCCCUGGGUUUGAUUCCCAGCAUC